ACUGUGGCUCAGUUGGUAGAGCAGCUGAUUCGUAAUCAGCAGGUCGCCGGUUCGAGUCCGGCCAGU
rnacentral:tRNA from 6 species